GAUGAACGCUGGCGGCGUGCUUAACACAUGCAAGUCGAACGAUGAAGCCCAGCUUGCUGGGUGGAUUAGUGGCGAACGGGUGAGUAACACGUGAGUAACCUGCCCUUAACUCUGGGAUAAGCCUGGGAAACUGGGUCUAAUACCGGAUAGGAGCGUCCACCGCAUGGUGGGUGUUGGAAAGAUUUAUCGGUUUUGGAUGGACUCGCGGCCUAUCAGCUUGUUGGUGAGGUAAUGUCUCACCAAGGCGACGACGGGUAGCCGGCCUGAGAGGGUGACCGGCCACACUGGGACUGAGACACGGCCCAGACUCCUACGGGAGGCAGCAGUGGGGAAUAUUGCACAACGGGCGCAAGCCUGAUGCAGCGACGCCGCGUGAGGGAUGACGGCCUUCGGGUUGUAAACCUCUUUCAGUAGGGAAGAAGCGAAAGUGACGGUACCUGCAGAAGAAGCACCGGCUAACUACGUG
rnacentral:rRNA from 1 species